GAUGAACGCUAGCGGCAGGCCUAAUACAUGCAAGUCGAACGGAAUAUAGUUUUCGGAUUAUAUUUAGUGGCGCACGGGUGAGUAACACGUACAUAACUUACCCUCAAGAGGGGGAUAGCCUUGGGAAACUGAGCGUAAUACCCCAUAGUAUUAUUGAACGGCAUCGUUUGAUAAUUAAAGCUACGGCGCUUGAGGAUAGAUGUGCGUCUGAUUAGCUAGUUGGUAAGGUAACGGCUUACCAAGGCGACGAUCAGUAGGGGGCGUGAGAGCGUGGCCCCCCCACACGGGUACUGAGACACGGACCCGACUCCUACGGGAGGCAGCAGUAAGGAAUAUUGGUCAAUGCCCGGAAGGGUGAACCAGCCAUGCCGCGUGAAGGAUGACUGCCCUCUGGGUUGUAAACUUCUUUUGGAUGGGACGAAAAAACGGGAUUUAUCCUGGACUGACGGUACCAUCAGAAUAAGCACCGGCUAACUCCGUGCCAGCAGCCGCGGUAAUGUCUGUACU
rnacentral:rRNA from 1 species